CUUAGAAGCAGCCAUCCUUGAAAGAGUGCGUAAUAGCUCACUGGUCAAGUGGUUCCGCGCCGACAAUGUAGCGGGGCUUAAGCACACCGCCGACGCCGCGGCAGUCCAUCGUGGUCCUAGCCUGUCCGUUGGGCGGGUUCAGGGGGUGGGCUGGGUAGGGGAGCGUCCCGCGUUGGGUGAAGUCUCGGGGUGACCCGGGGUGGACGGCGUGGGAGUGAGAAUGCAGGCAUGAGUAGCGAGAGGCGGGUGAGAAACCCGUCCGCCGAUUGACUAAGGGUUCCAGGGCCAGGUUGAUCCGCCCUGGGUUAGUCGGGUCCUAAGGCGAGGCCGACGGGCGUAGUCGAUGGACAACGGGUUGAUAUUCCCGUACCGGCGCUUGACCGUUCAAUGUUCGCCGGGGUGAUGCUAACCAUCCCCGAUCCUGUGUGUCUCUUUCGGGAGGCGUGUGGGGGAGGGCGUGGGGUCCGAGCCUGGGUGGGCAAGCGUGGUAACAGGUGUGACGCAGAGUGGUAGUCCAACCGUGUCGUAUGGCUGAGCACGGCUAAGGGUGUAGCCCGUCUCCCAGGUAAAUCCGGGGGGCGUUCGGGUCAGGCCUGAUGGGGACCGUUUGACGGGAAGUGGAUGAUCCUGUGCUGCCGAGAAAAGCAUCGACGUCAGGGCAAGCGCCGCCCGUACCCGAAACCGACACAGGUGGUCAGGUAGAGUAUACCGAGGCGUGCGAGUUAAUCGUGGUUAAGGAACUCGGCAAAAUGCCCCCGUAACUUCGGGAGAAGGGGGGCCCCGGUCUUGACGUCCCCGUGCGGGGCGGAGGGGUCGGGGCCGCAGAGUCCAGGGAGAAGCGACUGUUUAUCAAAAACACAGGUGCGUGCUAAGCCGCAAGGCGAUGUAUACGCACUGACGCCUGCCCGGUGCUGGAAGGUUAAGCGGACUGGUCAGCCCUUCGGGGUGAAGCUGGGAAGUUAAGCCCCAGUAAACGGCGGUGGUAACUAUAACCAUCCUAAGGUAGCGAAAUUCCUUGUCGGGUAAGUUCCGACCUGCACGAAUGGCGUAACGACUUCUCCGCUGUCUCGACCACGAGCUCGGUGAAAUUGCAGUACGAGUAAAGAUGCUCGUUUCGCGCAGCAGGACGGAAAGACCCCGGGACCUUUACUAUAGCUUGGUAUUGGUGUUCGGUACGGCUUGUGUAGGAUAGGUGGGAGACUGUGAACCGGUCACGCUAGUGGGCGGGGAGUCGUUGGUGAAAUACCACUCUGGCCGUGCUGACCAUCUAACCUCGGUCCGUGAUCCGGGCCAGGGACAGUGCCUGGUGGGUAGUUUAACUGGGGCGGUUGCCUCCUAAAGGGUAACGGAGGCGCUCAAAGGUUCCCUCAGCCUGGUCGGCAACCAGGUGGCGAGUGUAAGUGCACAAGGGGGCUUGACUGUGAGACUGACGGGUCGAGCAGGUACGAAAGUAGGAACUAGUGAUCCGGCGGUGGCUUGUGGAAGCGCCGUCGCUCAACGGAUAAAAGGUACCCCGGGGAUAACAGGCUGAUCCUGCCCAAGAGUCCAUAUCGACGGCAUGGUUUGGCACCUCGAUGUCGGCUCGUCGCAUCCUGGGGCUGGAGUAGGUCCCAAGGGUUGGGCUGUUCGCCCAUUAAAGCGGUACGCGAGCUGGGUUCAGAACGUCGUGAGACAGUUCGGUCCCUAUCCGCUGCGCGCGUAGGAGAAUUGAGAAGGGCUGUCCCUAGUACGAGAGGACCGGGACGGACGAACCUCUGGUGUGCCAGUUGUUCCGCCAGGAGCACGGCUGGUUGGCUACGUUCGGGAGGGAUAACCGCUGAAAGCAUCUAAGCGGGAAGCCUGCUUCAAGAUAAGUUCUCCAUCCAGCCUGUGUGCUGGGUGAGGUCCCCCGCAGACGACGGGGUUGAUAGGCCGGACGUGGACGCCUCGUAAGGGGUGGAGCUGACCGGUACUAAUGGACCGACCGCCUACACCAU
rnacentral:rRNA from 1 species